UUUUAGGGUUCAACAUUUCCACUCAAGGAAACCAGCAAAGCAUCGCGUUCCUCUGCCCGCCCCCACUCCCACAUAUAAAAACCGGACGCCAGCGAACACGACGAGGUCCUCCCCUCCCUCCCCGAUCUAGACCCGCCCAAGAAUAUUCCACCCCAAGUCGUCUCCGUCCUCAACGCAAGAGAUGGCAGAAGGGGAUGAGUACCGUUGCUUCAUUGGAAACCUGUCAUGGUCGACAACUGAUGAAAGCCUCAAGGAUGCAUUUAGAAAAUUUGGCAAUGUCACAGAGGCAAAGGUUGUUCUUGACAAGUUUUCUGGCCGGUCACGUGGAUUUGCUUUUGUAACAUUUGAUGAGAAGAAAGACAUGGAAGCAGCUAUUGAGGACAUGAAUGGAUUGGACUUGGAUGGGAGAGCCAUCACCGUUGAUAAAGCUCAACCUCAAGGCGUUGGUAGAGACCGUAACGGUGACCGUGAUGAUCGCGACCGUGGAUCUCGUGGUGACCAUGGCCGUGACUAUGGUGGUGGUCGUGCACCGCGUGGAGGUGGUGGUGGUGGGGAUUGCUUCAAGUGUGGCAAACCUGGACACUUUGCUAGGGAGUGCCCAGAUGGGGAUGGUGGUGGGAGAGGUGACAGAUAUGGUGGCAGAGAGUCUAGAGAUGAUAGGUAUGGUGGUGGUAGUCGUCAUGGAUCUGACCGUGGCGGUGACCGGCCGUGGCGGUGACCGCUCUGACCGUGGUGGUGACCGAUAUUCUGGUCGCAGCCGCGAUGGUGGAGGUGGUGGUGACCGUCGUGACCGAUCUGGUCCCUACUGAUGGCCUAGACCUUGAGAAGUGUGUUUUAUCCAGGUGGCUUUUGUUGGGCCGUGUGUUGAUGCUCCAGCAUGUCGAUUGUGGUCAUGUGGCAUAUCAUCUCUUUAUGUUGGAUCUGUGGGUGGACUGGCAUACCGUGUUGCUUCUAUUGUAUCGGGGAAGGAAAUGACCAACUAAAUCCGCUUGAAAACACCACGAGAAAAGAAGCAACUGAAGAAUCAUCGGUGAAACGAAACCAAACUGGCUCCUUUUCCGGUUAUUUCUUCUGUUCUGGAUUGGUUUCAGUUCUACUGUUAGUCCGACCAGCUAUCCUUUAGUAACUAAGGGCAUGUUAUUUCUUUCCGACAUUAUGGUACUCUGCCAUAGCAUUGAAGGACCUCUGCGAACUAAAAGUCGAUGCUUCUGUCUUUGUUCAUGCUUGGUUGGCUUCACUACCUGCUCACUGUUUGCCUGCUCCUUUGAGACUGAACCACCGGUCUCGGUGAGCUGUGUCAUUUGUCAUGGGAGAUGCAUCUGAGUGAUGAUAAGCUACCUGGCUACCCUUUGGCAUUGCACCACUGAAGUAGAAGUUCCAUUAGUAUGUUAUGACACUACAAAAAGUUAGUUAGUUUGAUGUUGAUCUUGUGUCACCUGGUUGUCAGGUAGUACUUUUUUUGGUCUUCAUAUUUUAUUGCCAUUGUUUUCCUUGUCCAACUUCAUGAAUUGUAACAUAGGGUCUUCGAUACGACACUGUUUAUUUGCUUAUCGUAUAGGUGUUGUUUUGCACUAAAAAAGUGCUUGUUGGAACCUCUGUUUGACAUGCUAAGUAACUUUGCAUAUAGUUUGCUC